AUGAUGCCAUAUGACUUCUACAACUGCUUCCUGCUGAAGAGAGAUUUCAUUGUCCUUAAGAGCCAAGAGUGCCUUGCUCUCAGUGUCCUGUACCAGGUACAGCUUCAGGAGUCAGGUCCAGGACUGGUGAAGCCCUCACUGACCCUCUACAUUGCCUGCACUGUGUCUGGAUUCUCCAUCACCAUUCUCCAUGGCUGCUGGAACUGGAUCUGCCAGCCUCUAUGGAAAAGUCUGGAGUGGACAGGGGACAUAUGUUAUGACGGGAACUCUUACUGCAGUCCGGCUGUCAAGAGCCACACCUCCAUCACUAGAAACAUGUCUGAGAACCAGUUCUCCCUGCAGCUGAGUUCUGUGACCACUGAGGACAUAGCUGUGUUCCUGUGCAAGUUACACAGUGAGGGGAAGUCUGCAUGA